CCCAAGGCGCUUGAGAGAACUCGGGUGAAGGAACUAGGCAAAAUGGCACCGUAACUUCGGGAGAAGGUGCGCCCUUUGGUGUGGUCACGUGCGUGACUGAGCAUCGAAGGGUCGCAGUAACCUGGCCGCUGCGACUGUUUAUCAAAAACACAGCACUCUGCAAACACGAAAGUGGACGUAUAGGGUGUGACGCCUGCCCGGUGCUGGAAGGUUAAUUGAUGGGGUCAGCCGCAAGGCGAAGCUCUUGAUCGAAGCCCCAGUAAACGGCGGCCGUAACAAUAACGGUCCUAAGGUAGCGAAAUUCCUUGUCGGGUAAGUUCCGACCUGCACGAAUGGCGUAACGACAGCGGCGCUGUCUCCACCCGAGACUCAGUGAAAUUGAAAUCGCUGUGAAGAUGCAGCGUUCCCGCGGCAAGACGGAAAGACCCCGUGAACCUUUACUAUAGCUUUACACUGAACGUUGAGUUCUUCUGUGUAGGAUAGGUGGGAGGCUAUGAAACCAGGACGCUAGUUCUGGUGGAGCCAUCCUUGAAAUACCACCCUGAAGUGCUUGACGUUCUAACCUAGGCCCGUAAUCCGGGUCAGGGACCGUGUAUGGUGGGUAGUUUGACUGGGGCGGUCUCCUCCCAAAGAGUAACGGAGGAGCACGAAGGUACGCUCAGCGCGGUCGGACAUCGCGCACUGUGUGCAAAGGCAUAAGCGUGCUUGACUGCGAGAUCGACGGAUCAAGCAGGUACGAAAGUAGGUCUUAGUGAUCCGGUGGUUCUGUAUGGAAGGGCCAUCGCUCAACGGAUAAAAGGUACUCCGGGGAUAACAGGCUGAUACCGCCCAAGAGUUCAUAUCGACGGCGGUGUUUGGCACCUCGAUGUCGGCUCAUCACAUCCUGGGGCUGUAGCCGGUCCCAAGGGUAUGGCUGUUCGCCAUUUAAAGUGGUACGCGAGCUGGGUUCUGAACGUCGUGAGACAGUUCGGUCCCUAUCUGUCGUGGGCGUUGGAGAUUUGAGGGGGGCUGCUCCUAGUACGAGAGGACCGGAGUGGACGUUCCGCUGGUGUUCGGGUUGUCAUGCCCAUGGCAUUGCCCGGUAGCUACGAACGGAAGUGAUAACCGCUGAAAGCAUCUAAGCGGGAAGCACGCCCCAAGAUGAGAUCUCCCGAGAGCUUGACUCUCCUAAAGGCACCAUCAAGACUAGGUGGUUGAUAGGUCAGGUGUGGAAGCGCAGCAAUGCGUUGAGCUAACUGAUACUAAUGAGCCGUGAGGCUUGACUG
rnacentral:rRNA from 1 species